rnacentral:lncRNA from 1 species
ACAAUGUAGUAGAGUUUUGGUUUAGAUUUUUAAUAUUUAGGCCAAUUGGCCGAAUCAUAUCAAUAAUAUUAUGUUUUAAUAUAUUUUUUUUUCAUCUUAUUUAUCCUCUCAAUAGUUUGCAACUAUUAGCUUCCACAUGACGCCCUCUCGAUUUUGAAGUAUAAGAGUCUAUGGUUCAAUGGUUCGAUGGUUCAAACUGAAUGAGCUUUGAAGGUGCGGUAUAUAAUACUUUCAUCAAUUUCAAGUCUAUAUUGUAGAUGAAUGAGUGUUUGGCAAUCAUAUCAUUCUAAUAUAUUGCAGAAGAAUGUUCGAUUUGACUUUGAGAAUUAUUUUGUGUAAAAUGUUAGGUUUAAUUGUAUUGUUCUAAUAUCUCAAUUAUUAUAGUUUAUGUUCAAUUACUAUCUGUUGUUUUUUUACCUAAUACAAGUGGUAGAUGAAGUUCGGUCGAGCUUCAAGGAAUUUUUGUGUAAAAGUUAUGUUUAAUCAUAUUGUCAUGAUAUCUCGUUCAUUGUAUUUUUUUUGUUGUAUUUUAAAGGUGAUAGACGAAGGUUCGAGCUUUGAGUGAUUUUUUUGUAAAGGUUAGGUUUAAUCAUAUUUUUUUGUUGAAGUUUCUACUCUAUUACUAUCUGUUGUUUUUGUAUUAUUAUCCGUUAUGUGACGUUGGAAAAUAAAAUUUUAUUUACGUGACUAUCUACAAGUCUUUAAAGUCAACUGUUAUUUUUCAAUAAAUGAUUUUCUUUUAUAUAUUUUAUAUUAAUGACUCGACAUGAAGCACACAUGUAACACAUGUAUACUUGGCUAGUUAUUUUAAAAAAGAGAAAGUAAAUAAGGAAUUUACGUAAUUAUUUAAAAGAAUAGAAAUUUUAAGUAGUUAACACUUAAAUUAAAUUGUGUUAUUAAGUAAUUUUUCCAAAAAUAAAAUUAGCCCAAUCUAAUACAGCAUCCAGGCCCAUUCUCUAUUCCUAGAAAAGAGGGAUUUGUCGGAGAAGUCUACAAAUGACAAGAUUUAAUGAAUAAAACAUCUUAUUCCUAAAAAAAAAUCUAUUGUUUAGAUAUUUUUAGUUUUGGGCACUAAAUAAAUUUGUAUAUUCAAUCGAUUUGUCUAUAUAAAUGGAAAAGAUAAAUAAUUUGAACUUGCAUUCUAAUCGAGCAGGUAGAUCAUGAAAUCGAACCUCGUUGUCACUCAUUUUUCAAAAGAAAAAUAAUUUUUUUUUCAUGUGUUUGACUCAUAAAAAAAAAUUAGAUCCGCACGUGAGGAGUGUGUUGAAAAUAUAAUUGAAAUACAAGUCAAGAGACGUAAAUGAUUUCCAUCAACUGAAAAAAGUUUGUUCAAAUCCUUCAUAAAAGCAAAAACUAUUCUCACACAAGAGCAAAUUAAUCUAACUUUUGUAUUUCAACUGUUCUAUAGACUACAUCAACGAUAAAAAUUGGAUUAGUUUUGAUUGGUCUGGCGAUUCAAUUUCAAAAUUCAACCUAUUGGAGACUUAGUCAUUAUCAUUAUUUGAUUGUUCACUUUAUAUAUCAAUGAAUCGUCGUCUAAUCAUUUGCAUUGCACCUUAAAACCCCAAAACAUUCCACACUACCCAUAGAGUCUCAUGGAUUGAUAUUUGUUCUUACUUUCUUAUCAUUAUUGAAUUUGUUUUUCGGAAAAACACACACAAUUUUUUUAUAUUUAGCUAUCAAUCACAUACCAAAUUCUAACCAGUGUCUUCUAGAAAUUCCCUAGUUUUAAAUUUGGAUAAAAGAUACCAAAUAUUCUUAAAAGUAUUAAAAAGAAAUCAAGUUGAUCGAUCUUAUCCUGUUAUUGAUUUUGAACAAACACAUUACUUUUUAAAAUGUCUCAGUCGAUCCGUCACAAUCAAGUCCUAUAAAAAUAAAAUUCAUUUCAUUGUCCCCAUGACACUUUUCUUACUUACUACAACCAAAAUAUAUGCACUUUCUUUCCAUGUAAUUAUUAUCAUAUUCCUGUUUAAUUUAUACCCAGCUAGAGAGCAAUGUCAUAAAACACCAAAAAGAAACAACAGAAAAAAAAAAAAACAAAGAGAGAGAGAGAACACAGGGACAGCUGAUCACUGUAUUUGAUGAUUUUUUAAUUUCUGUGAGAGACGUAUGAAUCAUUUUCCAACCAUUUAAUUUCUUGCAUUUAAAUUUGUCAUAUCAUUAGGGCAUUUCAACAAAUUUGAUGGUCUAAAACUAGAUUUGAAUAAGAGGUUUCAAGCAUAUUCAAUAAAAUUAGUUUUUGUGUAUCAUAAGUGUAUUUUGUAUGUCAACAUACAUCUUGUGCGAAAUGCGUGCAUCUCCGACGGCAUACGUGCAUCUUAUGUGCAUUUUGUGUGCCAUACAUGCAUGUCGUUGUCAAUUAUUAAAAUUAUAUAGUAUCACAUAGAUAUUAUCGUUAAAUAUACCUGUAAGUAUAUAUACUAUCAUUGAGAACUAUCUUCGAACUUAAUUUAAUAUUCUUAAGGAAAAAAACUCUAAACAACUAACCUUACUUUUAGUAACUAUUGAAAAUGAGUCCUCAAAAAUUAUUUUAUUUUUUCCAAAAGUUUCUCUUGAAAUUUAACACUACAUAAAGAAAAUAAUUUAUAUUUUUAGAAAAAAUGAAGCCCCAAGCCAUUUAUGAUCGAACCUGACCUGUAUAUCAUUUUGGAUAGGAUGAUGAAGAUUACUCAAUGCUAUAACAAAAAUAUUUUGGCCAAUAAUUUGUGCGUCAUAUAUACGAGUGUUAUAUAAGGUACUUGUUUUCUCUCAAACACACAAAAUAAGACAAGUAUCUACUAGGUCACAAUUAAGUCUCAACCUGUUUGAGUACUACGUGCCUUGUAAAUGUGCAUUUGUCGGACCAAAAAGACACCAAACUCUAGAUGGUCAAACCAAAAAUGAUUUUUUCUUUUUGUUGUAGCUUUCUAAGUUGGUUGAUGUCAAUAUCUUCAGCUUGUUUGAUUUUUAAUUUCUCUUUAUUACAUCCUAGUUAGGUACAAAAGAUGAAGCAUUAUAUUAAUCAAUAUCCCUUUUUCCCUUUCAUAUAAUGUUAAUCUAAAAAGAUUCUAGAGACAACCUCUGAAGAGACAUGCAAAGUGCCUCUUCACCAAAAAGUAACAUAAACAAUUUUUUUUAGUACAAAAAAGUAACUUAAGCAAUGCCAUCAUGCAUGUAUUAUAUUCACUUUUAAAUUAAAAGAUCAGUUUAGGUGAAAAUUAAUCACUAAGCUUGUCAACUAGCUAAACUCAAUCAAUGAGAAUCUUCAUACUUAUCCAAUUAUCAGAUUCAGAUGUACUUUAAUUAGUUUCAAAUAGUUCAACAGAACCAAAUACUUUAUAUACGGAUCAAAGAAAUAUGAUUAAAUUUUUAAUAAAAACCAUUAAAUUUGAUUUCAUGAUUGCAAAAGUGUAAAAAAAUUAAACUCGAUCUUUAAUUUGAACUGUAAAUUCGUCUCUGUCAUUAAUAUUUCAUUUUCCUAAAACACAUAAUAUAGCACUCAUAUCAUUUUAACGUAGAUCCAACGUUGAUGUGUGUACGGCUAUAUUUUUCUAAUCAAAAGCACUUUUGUUUUUCGUUCUUUAACUAAUAUUAUAUGAUACGUUGAUUUAAUACAUUGUUAUUUCUCUGCCAACACGAUAUAUAUGGGAUAAGGUUGUCAAUAUAUUUAUAUUAUUAUUGCCAACAUCACCCACACAAGUUGAAACCAUUCACAAUGUUUUUCCAUGCUAUUAUUUCAAUUAUUAGUACUAUUUUUUUUACUAAUAUAAUCCCCGUCUCUUGGGGGUUUUCAAAAGCCAUAUAUAUACUUAGGUUAGCUUUGUAUUUGUUCUACAAAUUAUCAUUAACGUAUCUUGAAAACUAUAAAUAGCAGAGGUACUGGAGUUGAAUCAAAGAGAAAAAAUAAAUACGCGCAAAAUAGAGAGUGGAGAGAAGAAUAAAGGGAUGAUUCAAAGGUUGGAAAUGUUCAUUGGAAUGGUGAAAUUGGCGUUUGAGUUCGUUGAGGUGUUUGUGAAAGCCAUCUCGGUCGAAGAUGAAUCAUCUUCAGCCGAGAUGAACUAUGUUGCUCAAACGCCCUACAUCGGCCUACUUCCAUAAUACUGGUCCGACUUAUUCAGAUUUAGUAAAUUUUGUACGUCUUACUGAAUUCAGAAGAAACCAAGUAGCUAGCUAGCUUUCUAUAUGACUGCAGCUUAGCUUUUUUCUCCGUCACGAGGCUUUGUAAAAUGAAAAAAACAAAAGAGCUUUCUUGGGAGAGAGCUAGGUGUUAGAUUUUUUAUUUUUUUUGGUAGUUAAUUUCUUUAUUUUUCUUUUUUUGUACGUGUUGUAAUUUUUGGUUAGUUAUUUUCAUCUAAUGUGAUUUGCCGUGAACUUAUAAUAAAUAUUGGCAGCUUUGAG